rfam:Rhizobium lusitanum strain P1-7 genome assembly, contig: Ga0061101_111
AGAAGGGCUUCCACGACGGCAACGUUGAGGGGGCUCUUUUCUUUUGC